UACGAAGGGGGCUAGCGUUGCUCGGAAUCACUGGGCGUAAAGGGUGCGUAGGCGGGUCUUUAAGUCAGGGGUGAAAUCCUGGAGCUCAACUCCAGAACUACCUUUGAUACUGAAGAUCUUGAGUUCGGGAGAGGUGAGUGGAACUGCGAGUGUAGAGGUGAAAUUCGUAGAUAUUCGCAAGAACACCAGUGGCGAAGGCGGCUCACUGGCCCGAUACUGACGCUGAUGCGCGAAAGCGUGGGGAGCGAUCCGG
rnacentral:rRNA from 1 species